UACGGAGUUACAAAGGACGACAUUAGACGAAUCAUCUGGAAAGAUGAAUCAAAGAAGGUAAUAAUCCUGUAGUCGAAAAUGUUGUCUCUCUUGAGUGGAUCCUGAGUACGACGGAGCACGUGAAAUUCCGUCGGAAUCUGGGAGGACCAUCUCCUAAGGCUAAAUACUCUCUAGUGACCGAUAGUGAACCAGUACCGUGAGGGAAAGGUGAAAAGCACCCCGGAAGGGGAGUGAAAUAGAACCUGAAACCGUGUGCUUACAAGUAGUCAGAGCCCGUUAAUGGGUGAUGGCGUGCCUUUUGUAGAAUGAACCGGCGAGUUACGAUUUGAUGCAAGGUUAAGCAGUAAAUGUGGAGCCGUAGCGAAAGCGAGUCUGAAUAGGGCGUUUAGUAUUUGGUCGUAGACCCGAAACCAGGUGAUCUACCCUUGGUCAGGUUGAAGUUCAGGUAACACUGAAUGGAGGACCGAACCGACUUACGUUGAAAAGUGAGCGGAUGAACUGAGGGUAGCGGAGAAAUUCCAAUCGAACCUGGAGAUAGCUGGUUCUCUCCGAAAUAGCUUUAGGGCUAGCCUCAAGUGAUGAUUAUUGGAGGUAGAGCACUGUUUGGACGAGGGGCCCCUCUCGGGUUACCGAAUUCAGACAAACUCCGAAUGCCAAUUAAUUUAACUUGGGAGUCAGAACAUGGGUGAUAAGGUCCGUGUUCGAAAGGGAAACAGCCCAGACCACCAGCUAAGGUCCCAAAAUAUAUGUUAAGUGGAAAAGGAUGUGGCGUUGCCCAGACAACUAGGAUGUUGGCUUAGAAGCAGCCAUCAUUUAAAGAGUGCGUAAUAGCUCACUAGUCGAGUGACACUGCGCCGAAAAUGUACCGGGGCUAAACAUAUUACCGAAGCUGUGGAUUGUCCUUUGGACAAUGGUAGGAGAGCGUUCUAAGGGCGUUGAAGCAUGAUCGUAAGGACAUGUGGAGCGCUUAGAAGUGAGAAUGCCGGUGUGAGUAGCGAAAGACGGGUGAGAAUCCCGUCCACCGAUUGACUAAGGUUUCCAGAGGAAGGCUCGUCCGCUCUGGGUUAGUCGGGUCCUAAGCUGAGGCCGACAGGCGUAGGCGAUGGAUAACAGGUUGAUAUUCCUGUACCACCUAUAAUCGUUUUAAUCGAUGGGGGGACGCAGUAGGAUAGGCGAAGCGUGCGAUUGGAUUGCACGUCUAAGCAGUAAGGCUGAGUAUUAGGCAAAUCCGGUACUCGUUAAGGCUGAGCUGUGAUGGGGAGAAGACAUUGUGUCUUCGAGUCGUUGAUUUCACACUGCCGAGAAAAGCCUCUAGAUAGAAAAUAGGUGCCCGUACCGCAAACCGACACAGGUAGUCAAGAUGAGAAUUCUAAGGUGAGCGAGCGAACUCUCGUUAAGGAACUCGGCAAAAUGACCCCGUAACUUCGGGAGAAGGGGUGCUCUUUAGGGUUAACGCCCAGAAGAGCCGCAGUGAAUAGGCCCAAGCGACUGUUUAUCAAAAACACAGGUCUCUGCUAAACCGUAAGGUGAUGUAUAGGGGCUGACGCCUGCCCGGUGCUGGAAGGUUAAGAGGAGUGGUUAGCUUCUGCGAAGCUACGAAUCGAAGCCCCAGUAAACGGCGGCCGUAACUAUAACGGUCCUAAGGUAGCGAAAUUCCUUGUCGGGUAAGUUCCGACCCGCACGAAAGGCGUAACGAUUUGGGCACUGUCUCAACGAGAGACUCGGUGAAAUCAUAGUACCUGUGAAGAUGCAGGUUACCCGCGACAGGACGGAAAGACCCCGUGGAGCUUUACUGUAGCCUGAUAUUGAAAUUCGGCACAGCUUGUACAGGAUAGGUAGGAGCCUUUGAAACGUGAGCGCUAGCUUACGUGGAGGCGCUGGUGGGAUACUACCCUAGCUGUGUUGGCUUUCUAACCCGCACCACUUAUCGUGGUGGGAGACAGUGUCAGGCGGGCAGUUUGACUGGGGCGGUCGCCUCCUAAAAGGUAACGGAGGCGCUCAAAGGUUCCCUCAGAAUGGUUGGAAAUCAUUCAUAGAGUGUAAAGGCAUAAGGGAGCUUGACUGCGAGACCUACAAGUCGAGCAGGGUCGAAAGACGGACUUAGUGAUCCGGUGGUUCCGCAUGGAAGGGCCAUCGCUCAACGGAUAAAAGCUACCCCGGGGAUAACAGGCUUAUCUCCCCCAAGAGUUCACAUCGACGGGGAGGUUUGGCACCUCGAUGUCGGCUCAUCGCAUCCUGGGGCUGUAGUCGGUCCCAAGGGUUGGGCUGUUCGCCCAUUAAAGCGGUACGCGAGCUGGGUUCAGAACGUCGUGAGACAGUUCGGUCCCUAUCCGUCGUGGGCGUAGGAAAUUUGAGAGGAGCUGUCCUUAGUACGAGAGGACCGGGAUGGACAUACCUCUGGUGUACCAGUUGUCGUGCCAACGGCAUAGCUGGGUAGCUAUGUGUGGACGGGAUAAGUGCUGAAAGCAUCUAAGCAUGAAGCCCCC
rnacentral:rRNA from 1 species